rnacentral:tRNA from 3 species
GCCCGCAUGGCGGAAUUGGUAGACGCGGACGACUCAAAAUCGUCAGCCGCAAGGCGUGGGGGUUCGAUUCCCUCUGCGGGCACCA